CAUAGCGACUAUCGUGGCAUAUCAAUAAGCGGAGGAAAAGAAACUAACAAGGAUUCCCCUAGUAACGGCGAGUGAAGCGGGAAGAGCUCAAAUUUGAAAUCUUAAAGGGUUUCCCUUUACGAAUUGUAGUUUAAAGAAGUGUUUUCUGUUGGAGUUUCGGUAAAAGUUCUUUGGAAUAGGACAUCAUAGAGGGUGAGAAUCCCGUAUUUGACCGUUACUUUCCAGCUGUGUGAUACACUUUCAAAGAGUCGGAUUGUUUGGGAAUGCAGUCCAAAAUGGGUGGUAAAUUUCAUCUAAAGCUAAAUAUUGGCGAGAGACCGAUAGCGAACAAGUACCGUGAGGGAAAGAUGAAAAGAACUUUGAAAAGAGAGUUAAACAGUACGUGAAAUUGUAAAAAGGGAAGCGUUUGACACCAGUGUUGUUUAGUUGAAAAUCAAUUAAAUAUUUUUCGAUUUUAAGUAGUAUUGACCUUCAUCAGCUUGCUGCUUUCUUUUCUGGAAAUUAUUUAAUGCACUUUUCAGUUAACAAGUCAACAUCCAAUUUCUUUUGUUGUAAAAGGGUAAGAGGAAGGUGGCUUGCGCUUCGGCUCAAGUGUUUAUAGCCUUUUACCUCUGCAAUCGGAGAGAUUGAGGUCUGCAGCGUAGAUCCUUCGGGGUUAGAUACAUUUGUGCUAAGCUAUAGCCUUGUAUAGACAACUUGUUGACUAUGCUCAGUCAUGUAGCUUACUCGCUUAUGCUAUUUUACCUACGCUUAGGAUGUUGAUAUGCAUGACUGAUAU
rnacentral:rRNA from 1 species